rnacentral:misc_RNA from 1 species
AAGGAGUCUAACAUCUAUGCGAGUGUUCGGGCGUGAAACCCCUACGCGUAAUGAAAGUGAACGGAGGUGGGAACCGCAAGGUGCAUCAUCGACCGAUCCUGAUGUCUUCGGAUGGAUUUGAGUUAGAGCAUAGCUGUUAGGACCCGAAAGAUGGUGAACUAUGCCUGAAUAGGGUGAAGCCAGAGGAAACUCUGGUGGAGGCUCGCAGCGGUUCUGACGUGCAAAUCGAUCGUCAAAUUUGGGUAUAGGGGCGAAAGACUAAUCGAACCAUCUAGUAGCUGGUUCCUGC